GGCAAACACAUCGGCCUACAAUGCAGUGUUGUGUUGCAUCCUGAGAUUUCCAACAGUGAGCUCCACUUCCAUUGAAACCAGUGGGACUUGCUUCUGAGUAAACAUACAUAGGAUUGUACUGUCUCGCAUGAGAAAAUGCUAUUCUCCUCCUCCCAUUUUUCAGCUUCUGGCAUAAGCUGAAGCAAGCUGCUGUACUUAUGAGCAGUAAUGAAAAAAAUUCAUGAAAUAUAUUUAUAUAUGUAGAUGCAUGAAUAAAGCAUGUAUCACGAAAUGAGCAGAAAAGUUUGACGCAGACUUCCGAGGGGCGGCGCGAACGGCAAUGGCGGUCCUCUUCUGAAAGGGAGAGGAGGCUCCGCAGAAAACGGGUCGUCCGCUACGGCGAAGCGGAGACCCACUCUGGAAAACCCCAGGCAGCAAGAGCUUGGGGUCCUGAGGCUCGGUGGGCGCCUUAAGUGACCCUCCAAACGCAGAAGGAACCUCGUAAGGGGCUCCGGAGCGUGGAGGGGGGUUGCGGCGCUGAGAGCUGCUUCACAGUCUGCGGAGUGAAGCCGCGCUGCUGCUGCCGGUGAGCGCUGAUCCUUUUUUCCUGCUAAAACACGGAUUCGGACGAAAAGCAACUUACUCGUGAGUAAAGACUGAAUCACUUGAAAUCAGAGACUUUAUUUAAAAAACCUUAAAUUGGCUUGAACUUGGCUGAAAGCGGAGAGACGUGGAAACAGGAAGUCCGUCUUCCGCAGCCAUUGAACUUGAAAAAAGCAACUAAGUUGGAGGAGUGGAGGCUGAAAGGAAGAGAUUUUAAACUUUACAGAUCUAAGCAUCUACUGAACCUGCAAUUUAAAGUAAAGACUUUAAGCUAAAGACUUGGAAUUUUAACUUGCACUUGACUUUCCCCUUUUAUUGGAUUACAAAUUAGAAGGUGAAACCCAGAGUCAGGAGCUGCCUGAGCAUUGAGAAAUUGAGCUGUCAGUAUUGCAGAUUUGGAUACUGUAUAUUGGAACUUGCAACAAUCUGAGGGUAUUGAGACUUUUUAAAUUUGAAACAUUCUUUUUGGAGACAAAUAAGCACUGUCUGUAACAAAGUGACUACUUAUAAACUCUGCUAAAUAUUUAUAUUUGAAGGUUCUUGGACAUUAAAUUAGACUCUGAAAGACAUUUUAAGCUCCCUCUAGAGGACUGGAUGAAAACAGUGACUUUACAUUUACAUUUACUUUCGAUUCCCUUGUUGUUUGCUUGCUCUGGGCCUUUCUAUUCCCAUGGGAAAAACUCAGUGUGACCUUGACUGAUAGACAACGUUGGAAUGAGUGGCACAAGGAAAAGAGGGAGAGUUAGACAAACAACUUUAACAACUCUAACCUCAGCCUCGCAGACACGUAGAUCAUCUGUACCUACUUUGCCCUCAGAAGUAGAACUUGAAGAAGUUGCCUUGCCACAGGCAAAAGAGGGAGAGGGUGAAGCAGAGCAGUUACAAUUGGAAGAUAUGGCCUCAGGAGUAUCUGUUUCUGUUCUAGACAAAAUCUUUGAAAAAUUGGAAGCUUUGGACAAGAAAGUAGAUGCGCAAUCAGCAAAGAUUGACAAAAAUACAGAAUGUCUAAAUAAAUUAACCAUACAAGUUGUACAGAAUACACAAGCAAUUGGACAGUUAACGGAGGCCUCAGCAGAAAAUCGGAAACUGGCUGAGGAUACUAGACAACUGGCUGAAAUGACCGGCAGAAUCCGUGACCUGGGAGAAGAGAGAAUCGAGGAGGAUUGGAAGAAAUUUAAGAACUAUCUACAAAAAUAUUGUGAUUUGAGUGAAUGCUAAAUAAGAUGCUAGACUAAAUAAUUGAGCACCACUUAACUUAGAAGUUUUUAAGAAAAUAAGUAAGACUGUGAAAGUUUAACUCUUUAUGAGAACUAUAAGAUUAUGAAACAUUGAAGAGAUAUAAGAAUUUAAAUAAGAUGAUAAAUUGCUGACAAAAUGUUAUAACGAUGAAAGUGGGAGCGGGGGAUGUGAGGAAGUCCAAAGAAAAUGUGAAACUAUGUUAAGACAAAUGUUAUAUUGUUUAUUAUGUUUAUUUUUAUUGUAAAACCCAAUAAAUUGCUUUAAAAAAAAAAAAAGAAAAGUUUGACGCAGAAGCUAUUUCGGCUUCUCCUCAAAGCCCAUUUGGUAGUUUUAUAGAUUAGGGAAGUGUUGUGGAACAGGAUAGGUCAAUUUUAAAAUUUAUCUAAAGAGAAGUCUUAAUAUGCAGCUUGGUCCUUCCCAGCUGGUAGGAAGUGCCUAGGGCAGCUGCUUCAGGGCCUGCCAUCUUGUGAGGAGGACGUUCUGGAGACAUGUAGAAUUUUUGUGAUGUCUAAUUACAAAAUAUCCACAUUGAGCAUGAGGAACAGCAAGCUCCUGAAUAGAUAGUACGAAUAUGAAAAACAGUUUCCUCAAAAAAAGCAAACAGCAGUCAUUUGACUCUUCACCAGAAUCCGUGUUUCAGCCAGCUGUAAAGAACACAAACUUGUUUAUCUUUUGCUGGCUACAUCGCAGCUCCCAACUGUUUCUCCAUCGCAGUUCAGUAGCCAUGAACCACCAGUAAAGAAACACAAGAUAUUCAGGUCUCUUGGGAAACAACAUUCCGUGUACAUAAGCAAACAACUGAAGAUACUUUUCUCUCAAGUGAAGAUAAUGAGUAUGUCCAUUAUAGUACAGCAGCUGCCAGCUACACUAAUUCUGCCAUGAGUUAAGUCAGAAGGCUGCCACUUGCCCUUCUGUCGGUUCAUUCGGUUGUAUGUCUGCUCAUUAUAUCAUGAGGAAAUGAUCUUCACCCCAACUUUUCCAUUUCAGGAUUCACAGCUGCUCCAUGGCAGUGAGCUGGAAUACUACUAGGCUAGGGGUUGGAACCCCCUUUCAUCACAGCCAGUUUGGCGGGCUCCACACCUGACAUCAUCUACCAGGUAAGCAGGAGGAAGUGGCUGGGCAUAAUGGUCUCACAGGUCCAAUGGAGAGGACUGGGAGGCCUAAUUAGAAGUUCACCUCCCCUAGGUCAAGGCAGAAGUUGACUGGACCAUCAGCCCUCUAAAGUGCAUAGGUCCUUUCCCCCCCAAGUUGUACACGUCAAUGAAUCAAGCCACAGGGGUUGUCAACCUGGUCCCUACUACCCACUAGUGGGGAUUUUAGGAUUCUAGGCGGGCGGUAGGGGGUUCUAUGGCACAAGCUGAAUCCUCCUUCCAUCGAGCACUGGUGGGCGGUAAGGAAAUUUUACCAUCAAGAACGAUGCAUUAGUGGG